GAUUAGAUACCCCGGUAGUUCACGCCGGUACCGAUGGAUACUAGCCUGUUGGGUUGUCGGACUCGGCGCCCAAGCGAAAGUGAUAAGUAUCCCACCUGGGGAGUACGUUCGCAAGUAUGAAACUCAAAGGAAGUGACGGUGGGCCCUCACAAGCGGUGGAGCAUGUGGUUUAAUUCGAUGAUACGCGAGGAACCUUACCAGCGCUUAGAUGGGAGAUGACCGGCUCAGAGACGACCCUGUCUUCGGACAUCUUUCAAGCUGCUGCAUGGUUGUCGUCAGCUCGUGACGUGAGGUGUCAGGUUAAGUCCUAUAACGAGCGCUACCACUGCCGUUAGUUGCUAGCGAGUCAAGUCGGGGACUCUUACGUGACUGCCGGUGCAAACCGAGACGAAGUUGGGAUCGACGUCAUAUCAUCACGACACUUACGUCCUGGGCUACACACGUGCUACUAUGGUCGGUACAAUGGUAAGCCAUCUCGUGAGNGUGCGCGGAUCUUAUAUGCCGAUCACAGUUCGGA
rnacentral:rRNA from 1 species